ensembl:lncRNA
AACAGUCCAUCACUACGUUAAGACAUGAAGGUCAGUCAAUCCGGAAUAUUUCAAGAACUUUUAACGUUUUUCUUUGAGUACGCGUGUCCAAACUUUUGACUGGUACUGUAUGUUUCCAAGAUGUAUUUUUAGAAACAAUACAAAACAUACAAAUGACUACAUCAUACAAACAUCACUACACCCCUCCUGCCCACUAGCCCCACCCCUAUCUCUAGCACAUGGUCUCAAACUGCAUUUAAAAAAAAUCUUUGUUGAUAUUAUGGCAAGAACAGCUCAAAUAAGCAAAGAAAAACAACACUCCAUCAUUACUUUAAGACAUGAAGGUCAGUCAAUCCAGAAAAUUUCAAGAGCUCUGAAAGUUUCUUCAAGUGCAGUCACAAAAAACAUCAAGUGCUAUGAUGAAACUGGCUCUCAUGAGGACCACCACAGGAAAGGAAGCCCCAGAGUUACCUCUGCUGCAGAGGAUCAGUUCAUUAGACUUACCAGCGACAGAAAUUGCAGCCCAAAUAAAUGCUUCACAGAGUUGAAGCAAUAGAUACAGCUCAACAUCAGCUGUUCAGAAGAGACUGCGUGAAUCAGGCCUUCAUGGUCAAAUUGCUGCAAAGAAACCACUACUAAAGGACACCAAUAAGAAGAAGAGACUUGCUUGGGCCAAGAAACAUGAGCAAUGGACAUUAGACUGGUGGAAAUCUGUCUUUCUUGGGGACCUGAAUGUUGACUGGUUUUCAUCAAGCUGUCUGCUCAAGAGGAAGCUUCUCAAUGUAACCAGUGCCUGUAAUCUGGUUCAGGUUAUUAAGCCUGAAUGCCAAGCGUCAAAUCUGGAGGAAACCUGGCGCCAUCCCUACGGUGAAGCAUGGUGGUGGCAGCAUCAUGCUGUGGGGAUAUUUUUCUGAGGCAGGGACUAGGAAACUAGUCAGGAUCGAGGGAAAGAUGAACGGAGCAAAGUACAGAGAGAUCCUUGAUGAAAACCUGCUCCAGAGUGCUCAGGACGAUCAGACUGGGGCGAAGGUUCACCUUCCAACAGGACAACAACCUUAAGUGUAACAGGAUAGCGGGAGAUCGCGAACGUCAGGUCUUCCCAGUAUGAAAAUGUGAUGCAAGGGGUAUUUACACAUGUUAUAUUUUGUAUUAUAUUUUUGUAUUUUGUUCACCCAGUAUGAAAAUGUGAUGCAAGGGAUUUUGCCAUCGACGGCCAUCAAUACCGUUAAGCCCUGCACAACUAACGUGCUGUUUCCCAUUUAACAACAGAAAUAAAUGAUGCUCAACUGGGACCACUGGCCGAAGUGAUUUAUGUUGAGAAAACACAAUGCAUGGAGAGUACAUAUACAUCUGUUACAUAAGCACACAGCCAAGACAAUGAAGGAGUGGCUUCGGGACAAGUUUCUGAAUGUCCUUGAGUGGCCCAGCCAGAGCCCAAACUUGAACCCAUUCUAACAUCUCUGGAGAGACCUGAAAAUAGUUGUGCAGCGAAGCUCCCCAUCCAACCUGGCAGAGCUUGAGAGGAUCUGCAGAGAAGAAUGGGAGAAACUCCCCAUAGACAGGUGUGCCAAGCUUGUAGCAUCAUACCCAAGAAGACUCAAGGCUGUACUCGCUGCCAAAGAUGCUUCAACAAAGCACUGAGAA